CAAAUGAGCUUAAUUUCCUUUU
rnacentral:miRNA from 1 species